rnacentral:rRNA from 1 species
GACGAACGCUGGCGGCGUGCUUAACACAUGCAAGUCGAGCGGUAAGGCCUUUCGGGGUACACGAGCGGCGAACGGGUGAGUAACACGUGGGUGAUCUGCCCUGCACUCUGGGGUAAGCCUGGGAAACUGGGUCUAAUACUGGAUAUGACCUCAGCAUGCAUGUGCUGGGGUGGAAAGCUUUUGUGGUGCAGGAUGGGCCCGCGGCCUAUCAGCUUGUUGGUGGGGUAAUGGCCUACCAAGGCGACGACGGGUAGCCGACCUGAGAGGGUGACCGGCCACACUGGGACUGAGACACGGCCCAGACUCCUACGGGAGGCAGCAGUGGGGAAUAUUGCACAAUGGGCGGAAGCCUGAUGCAGCGACGCCGCGUGAGGGAUGAAGGCCUUCGGGUUGUAAACCUCUUUCAGCAGGGACGAAGCGUGGGUGACGGUACCUGCAGAAGAAGCACCGGCUAACUACGUGCCAGCAGCCGCAGUAA